UCAAUAACACUGCUUAGCUUUGCUCCCUCUGUACCAUAACAGUGACUGUCUACAGGUCUUGGAUACUGUGCGAGGUUGCUGUGUGGGCGCCUGUAGCCUGUUCCACGGGGUAUCAUCAAACAGGGCUUGCUAGGAGCACGCAGCAUGUUUGGAGUUAAUUCUGACCAGAUAAUAAGGCUUGGAAACUCCUCCCCUUCUUCCUAAAGGUGAGUGUCUGUUUACAGGCAUCACAGCGGAGAAGUGCUUUUAUUUCAGUGUCGGUGUGACGAGCAGAAUAUCAGACAGCAGCCGCAGCAGUGUCUCAGAUCACAGCCUGACAGGAGGAGAGAGACUGGUUUAGUGACCAAGUCAUCAUGUUCCCUGAAGUCAGAUCUGGAAAGGCAUUGUGCAAGCCUCAGAGAGGUAACUCACCUGCACUUGGCUGAUUUUGGAUUCCCUACACAACGUCUAUAGUCUCGCAUCCAGAUUAUGGAAAGCAGAAGUCAAGAGGAGCUUAUUGACCCCUAAAAAUUUUUGAUUGGCAGUGUGGACCCCU